rnacentral:rRNA from 1 species
GUAGGGAAUAUUGGACAAUGGGCGAAAGCCUGAUCCAGCCAUGCCGCGUGAUAGAUGAAGGCCCUCUGGGUUGUAAAUAUCUUUUAUCUGGGAAGAAACUCCUCUAUUCUUAGAGGCCUGACGGUACCAGAGGAAUAAGCACCGGCUAACUCCGUGCCAGCAGCCGCGGCAAUACGGAGGGUGCAAGCGUUAUCCGGAUUCACUGGGUUUAAAGGGUGCGUAGGCGGGUUGAUAAGUCAGUGGUGAAAGCUCCGGGCUUAACUUGGAAACUGCCAUUGAUACUGUCAGUCUUGAAUGUCGUAGAGGUAAGCGGAAUGUUGCAUGUAGCGGUGAAAUGCUUAGAUAUGUUACAGAACACCAAUUGCGAAGGCAGCUUACUAUGCGAUAAUUGACGCUGAGGCACGAAAGCGUGGGGAGCAAACAGGAUUAGAUACCCUAGUAGUCC